rnacentral:rRNA from 1 species
AGAGUUUGAUCCUGGCUCAGAACGAACGUUGGCGGCGUGGAUUAGGCAUGCAAGUCGGGGGUGCCAGCAAUGGCAACCGGCGUAAGGGGCAGUAAGGCAUGGGUACCUACCCCGGGGUUCGGGAUAGCCAUCAGAGAUGGUGGGUAAUACCGGAUGACCUGGUGACAGCAAAGAUUUAUCGCCCCGGGAGGGGCCCAUGUGAUAUUAGCUAGUUGGCGGGGUAAUGGCCCACCAAGGCUUAGAUGUCUAGCGGGUGUGAGAGCACGACCCGCGCCACUCGCACUGAGACACUGGCGAGACACCUACGGGUGGCUGCAGUCGAGGAUCUUCGGCAAUGGGGGCAACCCUGACCGAGCGACGCCGCGUGUGCGACGAAGGCCUUCGGGUUGUAAAGCACUGUCGAGGGGGAGAAAGGCCCGCGAGGGCGUGAUCUAUCCCUGGAGGAAGCUCGGGCUAAGUUCGUGCCAGCAGCCGCGGUAAGACGAACCGAGCGAACGUUGUUCGGAAUAACUGGGCUUAAAGGGCGCGUAGGCGGGCCGCCAAGUUCGAGGUGAAAUCCUCCGGCUCAACCGGAGAACUGCCUCGAAUACUGGAGGCCUCGAGGCGGGUAGGGGCACGCGGAACUGUGGGUGGAGCGGUGAAAUGCGUUGAUAUCCACAGGAACUCCGGUGGCGAAGGCGGCGUGCUGGACCCGAUCUGACGCUGAGGC